rnacentral:rRNA from 1 species
AGCGAACGCUGGCGGCAUGCUUAACACAUGCAAGUCGCACGGGCAGGGGCAACUCUGUCAGUGGCGGACGGGUGAGUAACGCGUAGGUAUCUAUCCUUGGGUGGGGGACAACCGUGGGAAACUACGGCUAAUACCGCAUGAUGACUGAGGUCCAAAGCCCGCGAGGGUGCCUGGGGAGGAGCCUGCGUACGAUUAGCUUGUUGGUGGGGUAAAGGCUUACCAAGGCAUGANCGUUAGCUGGUCUGAGAGGAUGAUCAGCCACAUUGGGACUGAGACACGGCCCAAACUCCUACGGGAGGCAGCAGUGGGGAAUAUUGGACAAUGGCGCAAGCCUGAUCCAGCAAUGCCGCGUGUGUGAAGAAGGUUUUCGGAUUGUAAAGCACUUUCGACGGGGACGAUGAUGACGUACCGUAGAAGAAGCCCCGGCUAACUUCGUGCCAGCAGCCGCAGUAAG